ACAAUUCUACGCAAAGAUGAUAAUAAGACGACCGACUGUCCCUUGGAAUCUCCGAUAAAAUCGUCGCUGGACCUCGCGUCCGAGUGAUCAAAAAUCGCUCACAGAGUGUCCUCUGUGUUCCAAAUCGAAAACGCAGCACUGUGUCUGUCUCGCGGUGGGAUCUUGGAGGAUCGUGGGUGUCGCAUCUACCAGAUGUUUCGAGAAUAGAAAUUUAGUGCAGAGGUUCAGGGAACUGGCUGUUCCUGGUUCAAAAUAUCGGAUUCUGCCAGUUGAAGAUAAACGAAGGAAGCGAAAGUACGCGACAAUUAGAAGAAAAUUCUUCCGCAGGCUCGAGCAACGUUUCCCCAGAUUGUCAGGAAUUCGUUGAAACCUUCGUCGUUCGUCUGGAAACCGGCAGACAGAAUGUAGAAGAAAUCUUGGUAUGGUAAAUAACGAUGAUCGUCGUGAAAAGGUAAUAUUAGAAAAUGAUGUCGAUUUCCUGGGAGGAUGAACGAGGCCAGGCAAAAUGUGUGAACAGCUUGUCAAACAAUUACGCAAUUAUAUA
rnacentral:misc_RNA from 1 species